rnacentral:rRNA from 1 species
AAAUCUGGCGUAUUCUGCGUCCGAGUUGUAAUUUGAAGAAGGAUACUUUGGGGUUGGCUCUUGUCUAUGUUUCUUGGAACAGAACGUCACAGAGGGUGAGAAUCCCGUGCGAUGAGAAGCCCAAUUCCGUGUAAAGUGCCUUCGAAGAGUCGAGUUGUUUGGGAAUGCAGCUCUAAGUGGGUGGUAAAUUCCAUCUAAAGCUAAAUAUUGGCGAGAGACCGAUAGCGAACAAGUACAGUGAUGGAAAGAUGAAAAGAACUUUGAAAAGAGAGUGAAAAAGUACGUGAAAUUGUUGAAAGGGAAGGGCUUGAGAUCAGACUUGGUAUUUUGUAUGUCUUGCUUUCGGGUGGGGCCUCUGCAGUUUACUGGGCCAGCAUCGGUUCGGGUGGUAGGACAAUUGCGAAGGAACGUGGCACUGCUUCGGUGGUGUGUUAUAGCCUUUGUGGAUACUGCCU